CCCACUUGGGUGAAUACUGCAUGCACUACUCGCCAUAGAAAGGGUGCAGUCUUGGCAAGCCUCUUCUUAUUAGUCUAAAAAUAAAUUAUUCACAAUACAGGUUCAGAUACAGAUUGCAAGGAGAGAUAAUAGAAUUGGUUUUCCAAGCCUGAUCAUGCUCGGAAGACAUGGUAUGUGCUUUUCAGGAAUCCACUUCAACGGAAUCAGCUUUGACGAGCACACACAAGAAAUAAUAUUGCUGCCAUCCAGCUUGUGUCUGCGGUACAGCAUCCUUUGCUCGUCUUCAAGUACCCACGGUCCUUCUCCAUCAGUGUGCAUAUGGAAAAGUCCACGUUGCUCAAGCAUUUCUUCUGAGAUGCCGCCCUCCCAUUGUUCUUUUAAGGAAAUUUCUUCCUGGCAGCGUGAGAGGGGCACUGCCUCCUACCCCCCUUCUGCCUCGGCGGAACAGUUGACCACAGCAGCAGCCGACUCCGGCUCGUCAUGUGCUUCCUCAUGUGAUGUAGGUCUGCGGCACUGUGGAGCAACCGCAUUUGAGACUCGGCACUCAUGGACAGACGGGCGUUCAGGGACUGGGGAGUUUUUGGAGGGGGUGGGGAGGCCAAUAAACCAAGAAAACGUCAGAAAUAAAAGUCGCAUCAAGCACCGAGCUGCGCUGUUUUCUUUCUUUCUUUUUUUCUUUCUUUUUCUCUUUUUGUUUUUUUGAAAUUCUGAAGCCAGAGCGUCUUCUUCACAGCUUCAGGGCUGCAUCACUGUGGGCACACCAAGCUUCGCCUGCCUCACCUGCAUGGUUUCUGCUGACUCCCGCCUGAGAUGGCCCACCGUACACCCAGAACCCCGGAGUCGCCUGUCUGCGCCCUGCAGAAGAAGGACCUGCUGCAAGCUCUGGCCAGGGUCUCCUCACAGCUGGAUGGGGGUCUUGGAAGACAGGGUGAAGUUGCAGAAGACUGGGAUGGGAUGCUAGGGGCAUGCAAAGGACUGGGAAGGGGAAUUUAGGAAUACUAUACAUCAAUGCCCACCGAUGCUAUGCAUACAGGGCGAGCGAGGGCAGCCGGAGCCCCUGCCUGAUGUACCCAGCUCUGGCUGCUCUCUAGGAUUAUUAGUCUGAAGAGACAACCCGGGCCUGGAUGUGGUGCUUUUUUUCCCAGAGAGUGGAACGGAAGAUGAAUGAACCAGGUAUCUGCUGUGUCUGCCUGGCAGGGCAGAGCUGGAGAAAGGCAGAGGGAAAAGAAGAGGCGAUGUUGCCACUGACUGUGGGGAGAUUGCUCUGGGCUCCGCAGUCUUAGUCUAAGGGAGGAUGGCAUAAUGUAUAUGCCAGCACAUGCAUGGAGGAACUGUAAACUGCAGCAUGGAUGUCCCUGGUACUGUCAAGGAAGAAACUGAUGGGCUGGGUGACUAGAUAGUGUCCCCAGAGAAAAUAGCAGUCUUGCAGCAUGGAUUUAAGUGCAUGUGCAUGUGUGUAGAGACAUGGAAGGGAGUGUGUAACACACACACACACACACACACACACACGAGAGGAGAGAGAGAGAGAGAGAGAGAGAGAGAGAGAGAGAGAGAGAGAGAGAGAGAGAGAGAGAAUCACUUUGCUGGGUUGGGCUUGAUUACAGCCAGUAUUUUCAGCUUCUGCUCAACACCCAUUUCCUGGCUAGCCAGAAAGCUUGGCCAGAGCAGCUGUGUGUAGACUUUCUUUAUAAUGGCAGAGCAAGCCCCUUCAGUUUUAACUCCUUGAAGUUCUGAGUGCUCAGCGUUGGGCUAAGACUCACUGUGCAGUUUUGUUUUCUUCUUCUCCUACAGAGCCCUGUAAACACAGCUGUAUUCAGUAUGGCGGAAAAAUUCUGUCCCUUAAAUAGAAAUGUGAUCGAUUUUCAUCAAAAUAAAUGUAUCCCAGAUGACUUUGAGGCCAGCUGGAUACCACAGGCUUCAGGGGCUAAGCAUUCAGUGGAGAUGAAUACAGUGUUAGAUUUACAUGCUUUCCAUGCUAGGAUCAGUGGUGCUUAAUAAAGGAAAUUCUUUAAGGAAGAGGGAGGGUCCUCCUGGCUCACAGCUAGAUGGUGAAGUACAGGUGCUGCUGCUGAUCAUGGGCUGGGGGUUGGAGCUGUCGAGUUUCCAGAGGUGUGUGACAUGAAGCAGAGCAUGGCUGAUGUCAGCGUGAAGAAAGCUCGCAGCCUACUGAUUGCUGUCGGAGGCAGAUGGCUUCUCCAUAGCCUGUCAGGGCUGGGUGGGUAGAAGGAGCUUGUCGAUUGCUAGGAGUGAGCUGGGUGGACUGAGCUCUGAGCUGAGAGCGAGCAGCUUUCCCAGUUGUCAUGGGGGCUCCUCUGGGACGUAUGUCUGGCCUGUCCACCCACUGUUUGUUAGGAAUUCUACAAAGCGGCUCUGUGUGCUGGAUUAUGUUUGGCCAGCUGUUAGUGCAUUCCUGAGGGUGGGGCGGAGGCAGGAUCUUAUUACUGUACUUCCAAACUGUAGAUCUAUGUUGGGGGGGGGGAGAGAGAGAGAGAGAGAGAGAGAGAGAGAGAGAGAGAGAGAGAGAGAGAGAGAGAGAGAAGAGAAGAGAAGAGGAGAGGAGAGAAGAGAGAGAGAAUUAGGGGUGUGGAGCGGAGAGGAAAGAAACCAAGCAAGUCUGAUAAUUCCUUCUCCUUUCUCCAGGUUGAGCUAGAGGGAAUUCUGAAAGAGAGAAAAGAGAGGGUAAGGGCUGGGAGCCUGCUGAAAGAGCCCCUAAGACAAAGCAGAACUUCAAAGCUGCAGAGACGAGCAGAAUGUCAGCAGCUUGUAAUUAGCGGUUCAUGGUUGCGUCAGAGACUGUAUCUCUCCAAGAAUAACUGUGUGAUGUGUGCCACAGAGUGCAGGAGACAGUCAUAACUAAGUUAUCAAGCCUAGUUCACACAAGGGCAGAUGCAUGAAGGCUUUUUUCUGUUUGAAAAUCAAGUAUGGAUGGGGCACACAUCUCACGGGCUGGACUCUGCCUAAGUUCCGGCAGAAUGAUCAGUGUGUCAGUGGGAAUGUGUUUAUUACAUGAAGCAGUCGACCUGGAAGCAUGCAGAUUGAGUAUGCAAGCUCUCUGUCACUGUCAGAUACUGUCCCAAACAGCCCCACACUGCACUGCUGGGCUCCUGUCCCUGUACAUCCCCAUGACUUUUGCUUCUGUUUGUGACUGUCAAAGGGGGAAAGUCAAAAGUACACUCAAGUACCUAUGCCCCAUUAGAUUCUAAAAUCUCUACCGAGUGUGGGUUCUGAGUUUUUCAGUGCUCUUAAUUUGUGCCUGGACGAAGCUUUUGUUGUCUUGAAGCCAAACAGCAUCUUGCUGCCGAUCCCGUGGGGAGGUGUCAUACCACUGUGAUUGAGAGUUGAAGGGCACCUUCACUCCUCUACCUUGUCUCUGGUGUCUGGAGGUGCUGGCACUCUCUGCCCGCUACAGAGAGCUGGUGGGAGGAGCUGAUUGGCCGACAAGCUCAGGGUGUUUACUCUUAUUUGUUUUCAGUGUUCCUCUGCUGCAUGCAUUUAGUAGUUGUAUUUGUGUUCAUGCUGCACAAUUACUCCUGACCGGCUUUGUUUCUCUGCCCGAAGUGAAGUCAAUUUCAGUUCAGCCUCGGCAGUUGGGUCUCUGGGCGAUAUGCACAUGUGUAUUAUGUUACCCAUGUAUGCACUUUCCUGUUUAAAAUGUGGAUUAGGGAAAAUUGUAGGCAAGGAGAGCCAUGUAUAUUAAACGAAUAGCUUUUUGAAUCACAUGUAAUAUAAUUUAAAUAUACUCACUUUAAGGUUGCCAAAGCCUAUGUUGUCUGAGCCCAGUUAAUUUACAUCUUUGAUUUAGUCAAGGAGUGGAACCUGCCAGAUCAGAAUGCUGUAUUCUGUUCACCCAACAGGGUGGAAGACAUUAUUUUGUUUGUGUUAGUUCAAACAGCUGGUCAUUAAUGCAGUCCCCAUUUCUGGAGUGAAAUGCUGGUGGACAUGAAUGGCUGUCUGAUUAAUACUGCCCCUCCGAGGGUCCUUCACCCAGCCAUGCUCGUGCAGAAUAAUGUAGCAUGAUGUGAUUGCACUCUAACAGGAUAGUAUGUCAUUGUGUCACCAAGCAAUUGAGGUUAUUAUGGGGCAGGGCAGACAGACGGGACAGUGGGGUUACUAGACCGUAGCAUUUUUAGAAAUACAGGCCUGACCUACUUAGAGUUAUUCUGGCAGGCAGCUGCACGGUACAGAAAGUCUCCUGAUAGGCUGAGGCUGUUGCUAGGGGGAAUUAGCAUGAAUUUUUCCACACACAGACUCAGCGACUGAAUGAUAAAAGCUGACUGGAAUUAAAGAGAUUUGGUUUAGCAUUGUACAGAUUGAUCUGCCUCAGUUUUUUUUUUCCUUUUCUCAAGUGCAGAGAAAGAGUGCAAAAACAGAGAUUUUUGUUUCUAUUUGUUCUUUGACCUUCUCCUUCUCCCCCUCCUGUUCUUCACCCCCAAGAACCAGGAGUGGGGGAGAGCGGAACAGUUAGGAAAUUUUGUUUAAUCUCACUGUUGGGGGCAUGGAAACCAUGUUGCAAACGGCGAGAUAGUCAAGCUUGAGGACUGCUGGGCGUGUCUGGAAGAAGGGCAGAUGAUUUUUUUUUUCUUGUCUUCUGUGUAACAAGCUGUUUUGGAGUUGGGCAUGCAUCUUUCAUACACUGUAUAUUUUAUCCCCCCUUUUCCCUUUUGGACUUGAACAAAACAUUUACAUAAAUUUUUUUCUAUCCAAACAGAUUGAAGCUUGCAGUUGCUGGCUUGUUUAAAAUAAGAUAGACAAGAUCCCAGAUUUAGACAAGGAAAAAAACAUAUAUAUAUAUAUAUAUAUAUAUAUAUAUAUAUAUAUAUAUAUAUAUAUAUAUAUAAAACCACUUUUUUAUUACAAAAUAUUUUUUCUGGGCUAUUUUUGUCUUUUGAAAAACCCAGUAUGAUGUUUAUGCUCAGAGAUAGAAUUUAACUGCCCCCACCCACCCCUUUGUUUCCCAGUAUACAAAAAGCACUGUUUUCCUUUCUUUUUUUCUGCAGAAGAAAGUGUAGCUCCAGAAAACAGUCUCGAGACUGUUUUUCCAUGUUGCUGACACAGGCACUGUGUGUAGAAAGAGCUCACAUAAUCAAUUUUACAACUUGACCCAUUCCUGCCUCCACCCCCCCAGCGUCCCCAAGUGUCUGCAGUUUUAAUAGAUCUUUACAAGAGGAGGAUUUUUAAUAGAUCAUUUUAAGAUAAUCUGAAAGUCCAUCAAGACAAAAAUUAAAGCAAUGUGUAUUCAAGAAUACUUGGAGUUUUUCUUUUUUAAUUAUAUGCUAUCUGUGGUGUUUGUGCUGAAAAUAGUUAUUAUCCUGACAUUUUUAUUUGAAAUUAAUUUUUGUAAGAAAGUACUAUGAGUUCACAAGUAAACAAGGAGUUGAGCUACAUAAGCACUGGAGAGGAGAAAAAGAGACUGUGGUCAGAAUGUCCCACUGGAUUUCUUGGCUAUGUGUAAAGAAGCAAGAGGAUAUUCAGCUGUGGAUUUUCUUUUCAUUUAGGCUUUUUAGGUAUUCAGAAUUAUGUAGAUACAGACACUGUAGUGAAAACAAGCCCAAAAUAACUUAAUGGUAUCUAACCCAGAAAGCCAUUGAUUGUCCUCUUAAAAAAAAAUCCAUUGAGUGUUGUUUCCAUUUUAGCAUGUAAAUACAGCUUACCAAGCUGAAGUAGAGACCGUUGCCUGAUAUAGGGAUGAAUUGUGCCCUCCAUAGCUGGGCGAGUCCCCACAAUAGCAUAUUAAUCAUGAGGGGCUCCAACCAUCCAACAAUCUUUCGUAAUUGAAUAAAAGGUCAAUUUAUUUUUGCUGAGUAUAAAAUAUCCGUCUGUGCUCUUCCUUCUGAAAUGAUGCAAUUUUUUCUUACAAAGUUAUUUUAAUAAAUGAACAUUUUGACCUUCUACCAUAUUCACUUUGCUAAAGUCAAUGUAAAAUUAUUUAAAUAUUCAAGUGCAAGGAUAUAGAAAUAAAACAUCAAUUUUAAACCAGUAAAAUAAGGACAUAUUUUGCAUUAACAUUCUUUAAUGCACAGAUGCCUAAUUUAUAGAGCUUAUAGCCUGUGUCCAGGUAUGUAGUCACAGUGAAUGUUUGCUGUUUAAUGAAAAAUGAAUUGGCCACAUUGAAUUGUUCAGUAUAAUCUUUCUUGGUUGUUAAAAUUUUUUUUUCUUACUUUGAUUUUCAACCAUUACUAAAGAAGUAGGCAUUCGGUGCCAACAAAAAUAAAGAGAGCAUAUUUUAAAAUGUAAUUUAUGCUUACUUAACUUGAGUUAAACUUAACUUCUAGACAUUCCCUUAGAGCAUGUCAAUAGUAUAAUAGUAUCUGCUUCAUCCACUGCCAUUGAUCAGACAGCCAAAGGAACAAGCACACUCCCUCAUUGCAUUGAUUAUUUAUUAGGUGAGUGUUUCUUUUCUGCUCUCACAUCAAGCUGGCUUUUCCAGUUAUAUGGCCCAACAUAGAACAGUGAAUUUUGGGGAAAUCAGACAAGUGGUUGUUGGGGUCACCAAGUCCAGUUAGAUGCCAAGUAAAAUAUCUCUGUCAAGUAUUCUGUCCAAGAUCUGAUGUCACCUAAUCCCUGUAGCUUGGGAAAAGGACUGGUGGCUUUAAGACCUAGUACUUGGAGGUGAUCAGCCCUUCUGACCUCACCAAUAAGCGACAGCUCUUUCAAGCCAUCUCAACAACUGAUCCUGUUGACGAUCUAACAGUAAGUCAGUCUGUGUCUUUGUGAAGUCGUGUGAACAUACUCUAGCCCAGAGAUUUUCAAUAUCAUCAUUUAAACAGCUAGGAGUGUUUCAACAAUCCUAAGUGCCCAAACUGUGUGCCACCUGAGAUCCUGUCUGCCCCUCAGCCUGAUCCUGUCCUGUUCUCCUUUACCUGCUUUCUCUUCUUAGAUAAUCAGUACAUGCCAUGCUGUUAGCCUGUUUCUCCCACAUCUCUCAUCUCCAUUUUGUCCAUGUGCUAGGUGCAGAGAAGUUGGCUGAUUGAUGGAUGAAUGAAUGAGAAGAUGAAUGGUUAUCCAAUUACUUAAAAAUGAGUAAAUUAAUGGUUAUUCAGAAAGAAAAUUUCAUAGCUGUAUAAUGUAGCUGGUUAUUUGUGGACAUGCUUAGUGAUGAAGGUCCAAGUAGUUACGUUUUACGGCUCCUAAUCCCUAUGCAAUUGCUCAGCUUGCCUGAUAGAGCUAAAGGCAGCAAGGUGCAAAUACAGACAGAAUAUAAAUGAGUGAUCCAGACUGCCUUUCAAUGAAACUUCACUUCUAGAAACAGGCAAUGGGCCAGAUUCGGCCUAUGCGCUAUAGACACAGGUAUAUUGUUACCUAUAGUAUCUUGAAGAUACGACUUAAACAUAACAGAAAUACUCCUCAAUAUAUUUUUUAAAAAGGUGAAGAUUUAAAAAGUUCACAAAAAAUUAAGAAAAGAAGGAAGAGCAGUAUCAUUUAUAAUCUGAACUCACUGCCAGUCAACUGAGUGUUGAUUCUCUGUGAUGACAGGAAUAAGACAAUUCAUUUUGGAACUCAAGGAUUAAAGUAAACGUAAUUACUCUUUCUUAAGACGAUAUUGUUCAAGAUGCAAGAAGAAAUAGACAUUUUUUUAACUUUGCAAAAUUACCCUUCUGGUGUUGGUUGCCAGGGGUGAAGAGAGAGUUCCUACUCUGUAUUUGAAGGGCUGACAGGAAAUUGAAAAAAUGACAAAGAAUGAGUCUGCAGGGGUCUAGAGAAUGUAUUGCUUUUAUAGAGGACUUGAGUUUGGUUCCUAGCAUCCCUGUAGGACAGUGCAUAACUGCCUAUAGUUCCAAUUCAGCAGAUCUGACAGCCUCCUUUGGGACACAAUGGGCAGCUGCUUCACAUGUGGACAUAUCCACACACAGACACACAUAUACACAUAAUUAAAAAUGAAAUGAACAGCAGAAAAUGAUUGGAGCACAGCCUCCCAUUGUGCUGCUGUCUGGGUACUACUGUUGAAUCAGUGUAAAUACUGUAUUGGACUAGCUGGCCCUUAUUCCUGGAGGCAUGAAAUCACAGGCUAUGUAGAUGUUGAUCUGCAAUGCACUUUCUCCUACAGUUUUAUAUCUGUAUAUAUAUAUGUCCUAAAGCUUCAUUUACAAAUCUGGCAUAGUAAGAAAUCAACAGUAAAGACUCCUGAUAAGAUACAGUAAUUUAAAUGAACUAUAAUAGAAAUUGCUAAAAAGGUGAUUUCUAUAUGUGUGUCUGGUAUAUGUGGGUGACAUGCGCACAUGUCUAUGUGAAUGCCAGAGGUUGAUGGUAGGUGUCUUCCUCUGUCGCUCUCCACUUUCUUUUGCUGAGACAAGCUCUCUCACUGAACCUGGAGCUCACUGGCUGGGCAAGACUAGAGGUAAAUAUAUAGGUGUCCACUAUACUGGGAGGGAUUGCAUAUUUAUUCUCUUCGAAUUUUUAAAAGUUGACUUGGAUUUUAGCUAAUUCUCUUCAUAGAGUGCCCUAGACAAACAGCUUUUUUUUUCUUCCUGUUUGUAAGGCCAAAGACAGAUGGAAACAAAAGAAGGCGGGGAGGGGGGGCGUGGGGGAGGGCACCCAUUCUUUUGCCGUAAGGCUAUAUUUGCAUUAUUUUCAAAUUAUGAUUAAGGCUUAGCUCUUCCAAAAACCUUAUCCUGGUCCAGUGGCUUUGGCGGAACAGGAGUCUGCUAGCAUUCUUCAGUCUUGAACUGGUUAUGUGUCUGGUGACUUCUUAAAAAAAUGCAUUUGCCGUUCAUCAACAACCUGACUUCUCCAUUCCUCUCGAGUCUGCUUUCUUUGAAUCCUUUUCAGCACCUAAAUGUGGCUUAGACUGUCCUAAUCCACAGGAUUCCUGUUAAAGUGUUAUUCACCUCCAUGGGACUGCACAUACCCCAGGCUGGAAAAUUGUGUCUUUCUCUGAUACCCAGUGGAGCCAUCUGUGUGUUCUCAGUGCUCAAAUAAUAGUGAAAUUAAUGGCUGCCAUAAAUUUGCCCAUUCUGCAUGUAUAUCCUAAUCAUUCAUAUUACACAUGUCACUUGGACUUUUGCUAAACUAUUAAUAGUGAAUAUAAAUUAAUGAUGAGAUUGAAUCUAUCCCAGCAGUCAUGGAAAAUGACUUAAAGAGGCAGUGGCUUACCCUUAGUCACAGAAUCAGUUAAGUGAAAAAUACACACAUUUCUUUGCCUUGUCCAGAGAUCAAAAACCAUUCGUUCUACACUUUUAUUUAGAUAAGAGAGCUACACAAAGAUGAAAGGAGAAAACAAAAUUUUAAAAAUUAACAAGAACAGAUACUGUUUUAAAAGCAAUAAUAAUCAUUAUUGUUUCAUAGGAAUUUCAUAAAAUGUAUGUCUUAUUCUGAGUACGAUGUUCUCAGUUGAGAAGCUUAUUAAAUGAAAAAUGUUCUGGAAACAUCCGUUGAAUUGGAUACUUGGUAUCUGAGCUUGUCUUUAUAUUUUUUCUUAAUAAAAAGAAAUCCUUUGGUUGUCUAAGAGAAAUGUUAGAAAAAUGCUCUUUGAUGCUUUGGAGGACCCUUUCUUCCCAGCAAGGCUAAGCACAUUCACAGCAGAGGUGCGGCAGCAGGAGGGGUGGGGUGCGGCUGAAUGUCUCUGGUCUCCCUGGGGCUUUUCCCUUGCUAUUGCCAGUGGCUACAAAUGGCCACCAACCCCAGAAAAGUGAAUGGAACAGCAUGCAAGCCAAAGUCUCUUUGUACUCACUUCCAUUUGCUAGGUGUGAUUGAAUAUUUUGAAAGAAGCGGAUACGUAAAAAUGGGCAUUUAGCUAGAACCGUUUAGAAAUGAUCCAUUUCCUUCGUUUUCUUUUCAAAUAUAUUUGAUGUCAUGGCUUUGGACUCUGCCUACCCCUCUUAUUAUCUAGGUUAUUCAUCCAUCCUAUAAAAGACAAAUGGUAAGUACCAGGUAGAUGACACUGGGCUUAGCAUGUUUUUCCUCCUCUAACUACUAUAGAUUCCGGUGUUUUGUCCUUGUUCUGUUACCAGGAGUCCCUCCUUCAUCUGAUUUUCCAGGCCACAGUCAUUAAAGUUCACAGCACAGAGGCCCCUUGGUCUCGGGGUCCAGUUACAAGCAUGAAGAAUGCCAGUAUUGUUUUGUAAGAAUGACUGCUGGCACCUUGAAUGUUGCUGUGCUCAGAGCAAAAGAUGUGAGGGAUUUGUAAUGUUUUAAUUUUAGGAACUCUCUUUACACUUGGUUAUUGGAAGAACAUUCCACAGAGAUCUGCAUGUCAGGGCAUUUCAGCAGAAAACCCAGAAAUAUCAGGAGUGGUGUUUGGUGAUCAUCAAUCUUAACUAGAGCCAGUGGACUCUUAAGGAGGUAUGGAAACUGUUUGUUUGCUUUGUCUUUUUUUUUUAAUAACAGACAUAAAUCAUAAAACAGAGAAGGCUCAUAGCAAAAUAUUGAUAAUUUAAAGCCAAUUCAAAUGAGGGAGAGUAAACAGUUUGGAAAGAGUGUGCCUUCUCUUGAUCUAGUCUCCACCAUGUUAGGAUUUAGGGCUGGAGGUUGGCGGUCCCAAUUAGUUUUGAGUACUCAUUGAGGCCAACAGGGCUCACUGAGUUUGCAGACAUCCCUUUGGAAUUACUCUCAAGAACCUGUACAGACAGAAUGGUAGUGUGGUAGAGGACUGUGCUGUCAUAGCAUUGCUUAUUUUAAAAUCAGUGUUUGACCCUGGAAGCUUGACUUGCUGUAUUAUAUACCAAAUCCAUAAAGGUAAACCAAUCCCAUUUACUUUAAAUCUGUCCACAGCACCGUAAGACCCUUAAGAAAUUAGUAUUUUCAUAGGCAUUGUAUCUGGGUAGAACUGUUGAUUGUCUCUCUCCUUUGGAAGCCUGCAUGAUGACCUCUGGUACUGUAAAAGCUAGUCUUGAUGGAGAGACAUUUAGGUCAAUUCCAGCUCAGGCAUUAUGGGGACUGUUUCUGAAGUGCAUGGUGUCCUCAGCAAUAGGGACUUGCCUUCCACCUCUUGGAGGUAACCAGGGGCAGGAGCAGUAAUAGGCUGUACAUUUUGGGGGUCUCUUCCACAGCUCUGGGCAAUAACUCAAGUGAGGGUUUCCCAUAUCUGGUAUUGGAGUUUUUGUUAGUUGGUCUUUGGCUCUUGGAGAGAGGGCCAUUAGCAAGAUGAGAAAAGUUCAUUAAAACUAUAUAUGUAUAUUUAUGGAUAUGCCAAACUGGGCAGAGAAAAGACCAUGAGCCCUCAACCCUACAUAAAGGACUAUAGCCAACUCAGAAAGCCGAGAACAGGAAAAGUGGUCUUCCUCAAGGAGAGUACAUCAAUUGGUUGUCCAGUGCCCUGAGAACAUAUAUACAAAUUAACUUAUAUGGACUGAACAGGUUAUAUUUAGGAAUACAUAUAAGCAUGGGAGAACAAUUAGUGUACAAAGAGGCCACAAAUUUGAAGGAGAGAGUGAAUGAGGUAUUUGUGAGUUUUGGAGGAAGGAAAGGGAAGGAAUAAAUAUAAUUAUAAUUUCAAAAAUAGAAAAAGAACUUAAAAAUGAUUAGUAUUUUCUCAGUGUAGCUCAGUUGUGCAAGGAAAGGUCCAGAAUAGAUGUUAUCUAUGUCUACAUUUGUCUCUUUCCUCUUUCUUUCUUUCCUCCCUCCCUUGCUCCCUCCCUCCCUCCCUCCUUUCCUUCUUUCCUUCCUUGCUUCUUCCUUUAUUUCUUCCUGUAUUUUAAAUUUGGUACUGAGCACUAAUGACUUAUAGAAUCUGUCUUAAAAUGUCCACAUUGCAUCUGCUUUCAAGCCACUCCAUACACAUGUAGAUAGCAUGGUCAACCAACUGAUAUACUCUUCCCUGUAGACCAUCUCUUCCAUUUCCAGCUUUCCCCGGUUGGCUAUAGUUCUUUUCAGUUUUUUGGAUUCCCCUUAUGAACAACUUGAAAGGAGAUUUCUCAUACAUGGACUGGGGUUUUGUUAGUCUAAGGCUAUUGAUAGAUACAUGUCUUACAUGUGAUGUAAUAUGAUUCUUUAUGGCCUUUUCAAACAUAUUUGAUGUUAUUUAUCCAUCCUCCCUCUUCUUCCUUCUGUAUUGUCCCUAUUUCCCCUGUUAAAGAUUCACCCUGCUCUUUCCAUUUUCCUCCUCACCUGCAUCCUGCAUUUCCCCUCUCUGGGGCUCCUUUCAAACCUCCAUGGUCCCUUUUUACUUUCCGAAUUUCUGCAGUUACUCAAAUCUGAGAAUUUGAAGCUAGGAAUUUCAGACAAGAAAGAACAUGCAACAUUUCUCUUUCUGGGUCUGAGUUACCUCACUUAAUAAACUGUUUUCCAGAUCCAUCCAUUUACCUGAAAAUGUAGUGAUUUCAUUUUUUUUUUUUUUUUGCAGCUGAAUAGUAUACCAUUUUGUAUAUGUACCAUAUUUUGGUGAUUCGUCCAUCAGUUGAAGGACAUUUAGGUUGUUUUCUUUUCUUUGCUAUUGUGAACAGAGUGGCAAUGAACAUGGUAUCCUAUGUUUUUGGAGAUCCUAUAUUUUUGAAGCUGUGACCAAGUUUCUCUUUACUUAGUCAUGGUAUAUGGAGUGUCAUAAACUUGGGGUUUCCAAGUGGACUAAUGACAUCACAGUUGAAGUUACGUCAUGAAGAACUGUUACCCUGGAGAUAUUUCCUAUAUUCAAGGGAAGAGGAAGAAGAGUUCCACGUCUUGAAAUCUACCAGAUUUCUCCAUGCUUUUGUUUCUGGAAUAUCAGAUAUACUUAUCUUGAAUCUGUAUUUAUACUGGGGGAUUUGGAUGAAAACAAAAAUUUAAAUAUAUAGUGAACUUACAAAUGAGAACAGAAGUUUAGACUACAUGUUGUCUAAGGUAGUCAUUUGCCCAAUUGAGGCUACUAACUGCAGUGGACUGGAAAUGUAUGACUACUGUGUACUAGGAACAUGACUGUACAAAUGGAGAUGUUUUGUAAGGAUAAAACCAACUUACCAUGAUAAAGGAAAUGUGAAAUAAUAUAGUUCACCAAGUUAAAUAUUGAUGAUGGUAUUAAAAGUGGUGAAUGGUACAACAUUAGUAUUUUUGAUGUAUUAAAGUUUACAAUUUUUAGAACUGAUAUUUAUUUUACUUCCUUUUAAGACAGUCUCAUACAGCUCAGACUGGCCUUGAACUCACAAUGUAGCCAAUGAUAACCUUGAACCUCUGAUCCUCUUCUUGCCUUUGCCAUCUGAGUGCUGGGAUUAUGUGUGUGUAUGCAGAUGCAGACACACCUAGUUUCAUGUUGAGUCUUGAACCCAGGGCUUCAUGAGUGUUGGACAAGCACCCUAUUAACUGAGCUACAUCCACAACUCCUUUUUGCUCUUACUUUAAAAUGUGGCUUCUAGAUCAUUUGAAACGAUACACAUGCCUUAUCUUCCAUUUCUACUGGACAAAGCUCCUCUCUAAUAAGCCGUUAUCAUUUUUUCAUGUGGAAGCUGUCACUGUGUCCCAGGAGCUUCAUAAAUACCAUUACCAUUGCGGAUUAGGACACCGAGAGAAUGUGGUGAGCAGAGGAAGGUUCUACUCUGGAACCACUGUUAGAAUUGACCCUUCAUGAGUCUCUUCUGGAAGCUGUUAGGUUUGCACAACACACACACACACACACACACACACACACACACACACACACACACACACACACACACAGCCAUCCACAUUUUCAUCCCAAAGAGCUGACUCAGAAUGCUUGCAAGUAAUCCAGAGGUGAUAUAGUAGGCUAUACGUGAAGAAAAGAAUUGAAAUCAAUUUCCAAGAACCCACUCAUCUCAUUCUUGGUGCUGCUAACAUUUGGGUCAGAAAAUUCUCUGUUGUAGCAGAUAUCCAAUGUUUCAUGGGCUCUUCAGCAUUGUCCCCAAUGUCUAUAUAUCAGUGAGAAACAGCACUACAUACAUAGACUAUCAUUGGCCAAGGAUAAGAGAAUAUGGAAAUUGUAUGCCAAUACAUUUGAUGAGCAUGAUAAAAAUGUAAAAGCUGAUGAGAAGACCAGAUGUCAAAAUUAUUCAAAGAGGAUAUAGGAACUUUCAAUCCACUGGUGUCGAUAAAAAAGUUGUAUAAAAUUACUUUCAGGUCAUGCGUAUGUGAAAUAUGAGUUGUGUACGUAGACUUGAUUCUUAUUCCCAAGAUACUUCACGCUAGUCCUGCAAGCAUUACUGUCGGAAAACAAAUCCCGAAGAUGAAAGCCUUCUAGUCUGUCCCAAGCCUUUCACGCUGCCUGCAUACAGAUGCGACUGCUGUGAUUCAUGUACUGAUAACUCACCCAUGUCGUAUGUUUAAAUUAUAUUAAAAAUACAUCCUACAAAGCACUUGUAUACAUACUAUAAAAACAGAUUUGUAAUAUAGUUACAGUGCUGUAAUGUGUUCUAUCAUAUUAAAAUGCUAUGUUUAUAAUGUA